AUUGAACGCUGGCGGCAGGCCUAACACAUGCAAGUCGAACGGUAACAGGAAACAGCUUGCUGUUUCGCUGACGAGUGGCGGACGGGUGAGUAAUGUCUGGGAAACUGCCUGAUGGAGGGGGAUAACUACUGGAAACGGUAGCUAAUACCGCAUAACGUCGCAAGACCAAAGAGGGGGACCUUCGGGCCUCUUGCCAUCGGAUGUGCCCAGAUGGGAUUAGCUAGUAGGUGGGGUAACGGCUCACCUAGGCGACGAUCCCUAGCUGGUCUGAGAGGAUGACCAGCCACACUGGAACUGAGACACGGUCCAGACUCCUACGGGAGGCAGCAGUGGGGAAUAUUGCACAAUGGGCGCAAGCCUGAUGCAGCCAUACCGCGUGUAUGAAGAAGGCCUUCGGGUUGUAAAGUACUUUCAGCGGGGAGGAAGGGAGUAAAGUUAAUACCUUUACUCAUUGACGUUACCCGCAGAAGAAGCACCGGCUAACUCCGUG
rnacentral:rRNA from 1 species